rnacentral:rRNA from 1 species
UACGGGGGGGGCAAGCGUUGUUCGGAAUUACUGGGCGUAAAGGGCGCGUAGGCGGCCUGGCAAGUGGAAGGUGAAAUCCCUCGGCUUAACCGAGGAACUGCCCUCCAAACUGCUUGGCUUGAGACCGGGAGAGGUGAGUGGAAUUCCCAGUGUAGCGGUGAAAUGCGUAGAUAUUGGGAGGAACACCAGUGGCGAAGGCGGCUCACUGGACCGGUACUGACGCUGAUGCGCGAAAGCGUGGGGAGCAAACGGG